rnacentral:rRNA from 1 species
UGAAUACGUUCCCGGGCCUUGUACACACCGCCCGUCACGUCACGAAAGUCGGUAACACCCGAAGCCGGUGGCCCAACCCCCUUGUGGGGAGGGAGCUGUCGAAGGUGGACUGGCGAUUGGGACGAAGUCGUAACAAGGUAGCCGUACCGGAAGGUGCGGCUGGAUCACCUCCUUUCU